GACGAACGCUGGCGGCGUGCCUAAUACAUGCAAGUAGAACGCUGAAGAGAGGAGCUUGCCCUUCUUGGAUGAGUUGCGAACGGGUGAGUAACGCGUAGGUAACCUGCCUUGUAGCGGGGGAUAACUAUUGGAAACGAUAGCUAAUACCGCAUAACAAUGGAUGACACAUGUCAUUUAUUUGAAAGGGGCAAUUGCUCCACUACAAGAUGGACCUGCGUUGUAUUAGCUAGUAGGUGAGGUAAUGGCUCACCUAGGCGACGAUACAUAGCCGACCUGAGAGGGUGAUCGGCCACACUGGGACUGAGACACGGCCCAGACUCCUACGGGAGGCAGCAGUAGGGAAUCUUCGGCAAUGGGGGCAACCCUGACCGAGCAACGCCGCGUGAGUGAAGAAGGGUUUCGGAUCGUAAAGCUCUGUUGUAAGUCAAGAACGGGUGUGAGAGUGGAAAGUUCACACUGUGACGGUAGCUUACCAGAAAGGGACGGCUAACUACGUG
rnacentral:rRNA from 1 species